CCAGGGAAGCUAAUACCGCAUUCGCCCGGAUUUUCGAAUGCGGGGAAUCUUCGCUCACGCUCUCGGAUGAGAUUAGCUAGUUUUAAAUAUAAUGGGUUACCAAGGCAUAGAUCGGUAACCGACCUGAGAGGGUGAUCGACCACACUGGAACUGAGACACGGUCCAGACUCCUACGGAAAGGCUGCAGUAGGAAUUAUUGCACAAUGUGCGGAAGCCUGAAGUCAGCACCGCCGCGUGAGCCAUGAAGGCCUACGAGUCGGAUAGCAUCUGUACUCAAGGAAGAUAAUGACGGUUACUUGCAGGAGGAAGCCCCGGGGCGAACUACGUGCCAGCAGCCGCGAUAAUACGUAGGGUGCUAGCGUUAUCCGGAAUUACUGGGCGUAAAGGGUGCGUAGGUGGUUUUUUAAGUCAGAAGUGAAAUGGCUACGGCUCAACCGUAGUAAAGCUAUUCGAAACUAGAUGAACUUGAGUGCAGGAGAGGAGAGUAGAAUUCCUAGUGUAGCGGUUGAAAUGCGUAGAUAUUAGGGAGGAAUACCAGUAGCCGAAGGCGGCUCUCUGGACUGUAACUGACACUGAGGCACGAAAGCGUGGGGAGCAAACAGGAUUAGAUACCCUGGUAGUCCACGCCGUAAACGAUGAGUACUAGGUGUCGGGAGUUACCCCCCCUCGAUGCCGCAGCUAACGCAUUAAGUACUCCGCCUGGGAAGUACGCUCGCAAGAGUGAAACUCAAAGGAAUUGACGGGGUACCCGCACAAGUAGCGGAGCAUGUGGUUUAAUUCGAAGCAACCGAAGAACCUUACCUAAGCUUGACAUCCCAAUGACCUCUCCCUAAUCGGAGAUUUCCCUUCAGGGACAGUGACGACAAAAUGCAAUGGUUGUCGUCAGCUCAUGUCAUGAGAUGUCGGCUUAAGUCCCGCAACGAGCGCAACCCUAGACUAUAGUUGCCAGCAUUAAGUUGGGCACUCUAGAGGGACUGCCGAGGAUAACUCGGAGGAAGGUCGGGAUGACGUCAAAUCAUCAUGCCCCUUAUGCUAAGGGCUACACGUGCUACAAUGGUCCUACAGAGGGUUGCCAAGCCGCGAGGUGGAGCUAAUCCCUUAAAGCCAUUCUCAGUUCGGAUUGUAGGCUGAAACUUGCCUACAUGAAGCUGGAGUUACUUGUAAUCGCAGAUCAGAAUGCUGCGGUGAAUGCGUUCCCGGGUCUUGUACACACCGCCCGUCACACCAUGGAAGUUGGGGGCGCCCGAAGCCGGUUAGCUAACCUUCGGAAUCGGCUAUAGAAGGUGAAAUCAAUGACUGUGGACCUCGCAGCGAUGGUCCC
rnacentral:rRNA from 1 species